AUUGAACGCUGGCGGCAGGCCUAACACAUGCAAGUCGAGCGGAUGAAGGGAGCUUGCUCCUGGAUUCAGCGGCGGACGGGUGAGUAAUGCCUAGGAAUCUGCCUGGUAGUGGGGGAUAACGUCCGGACACGGGCGCUAAUACCGCAUACGUCCUGAGGGAGAAAGUGGGGGAUCUUCGGACCUCACGCUAUCAGAUGAGCCUAGGUCGGAUUAGCUAGUUGGUGGGGUAAAGGCCUACCAAGGCGACGAUCCGUAACUGGUCUGAGAGGAUGAUCAGUCACACUGGAACUGAGACACGGUCCAGACUCCUACGGGAGGCAGCAGUGGGGAAUAUUGGACAAUGGGCGAAAGCCUGAUCCAGCCAUGCCGCGUGUGUGAAGAAGGUCUUCGGAUUGUAAAGCACUUUAAGUUGGGAGGAAGGGCAGUAAGUUAAUACCUUGCUGUUUUGACGUUACCAACAGAGUAAGCACCGGCUAACUUCGUG
rnacentral:rRNA from 1 species